rnacentral:rRNA from 1 species
GACGAACGCUGGCGGCGUGCCUAAUACAUGCAAGUCGAACGCUGAAGGAGGAGCUUGCUUCUCUGGAUGAGUUGCGAACGGGUGAGUAACGCGUAGGUAACCUGCCUGGUAGCGGGGGAUAACUAUUGGAAACGAUAGCUAAUACCGCAUAAGAGUAGAUGUUGCAUGACAUUUGCUUAAAAGGUGCAAUUGCAUCACUACCAGAUGGACCUGCGUUGUAUUAGCUAGUUGGUGAGGUAACGGCUCACCAAGGCGACGAUACAUAGCCGACCUGAGAGGGUGAUCGGCCACACUGGGACUGAGACACGGCCCAGACUCCUACGGGAGGCAGCAGUAGGGAAUCUUCGGCAAUGGACGGAAGUCUGACCGAGCAACGCCGCGUGAGUGAAGAAGGUUUUCGGAUCGUAAAGCUCUGUUGUAAGAGAAGAACGAGUGUGAGAGUGGAAAGUUCACACUGUGACGGUAUCUUACCAGAAAGGGACGGCUAACUACGUG